rnacentral:misc_RNA from 1 species
CUGCUGUGUUUCUUCAUGGCUCCAUGUUUUGCCCCUAAGCAUGUCUGUAAAACCACCCCUCAUGAUACGCCUGAAUCUUGUGUCUUCUGUUGGUAGAGGUUGCACAGNGGGUUUUGGUGGCUGAUGGUCUGCAGCUUCUUUCUUGCCCAAUAGCCCACCUUCUCCAAAGAAACUAGUGACUGAUGAUGCUAUCCCAAGAUGAGCACCCAUCAC